ACUCUCUCUCUCCUCACCUCAAUCUCAGGUCUCCGACAUAGUUACUGUACACGGCUCAUCGGCUUCGAUGAACUGUGGGGGCUGAGUUUGGGGGUGAAGGGAACUCAACUAAGAAAGCGAGGGAGGGAGGUUGUGAGGCAGCAACCGGUUUAAAAAAGAAAAAAACUUUUUCACGUACAUUGUGUAGCGGAUGAUGCGAAACAGUAGUUAUGAGAAGCUUUUUUUUCUUCCAGAAAAAAAAAUUUCUCUUACCGUCCAUGUAAGGCCUGUGCAAUGACCCGCCCAAGCAAUAUAUUGGCCCGACUCGAGGUUACCCGUGACUUAGCUGCACCAGAAACAAUCCGAUCCAACUCAGACUAGUUCGGGUCGGGUAAAGCUAUUGGUUUUUUAAAAAACCCUCACACCCAUCUCCGCACCGACACCACCCUCAAAGCACACCAAACGCAGAGCCUCAAAAUGUCUCAGAGUCUACUCCACUCCUGGGUUCCCUUCGUUUCUCCCCAAAGAUGCCGAUAACUUCAAGUGGGCUUCUCGAAUAAUUGUAUAAUGAGUAAUUGCGUGAGGCCAUUGAUACGGAGCAAGACAAAUCCAAUGGUUCUUCUCCAUAGUUUUGACAGAGAAAUUUGGAGCAUGAGAAACGGAAUAUACCUCAUCAAAUCGACUUGAUCUUGGAGUUGCGACCGAACAGUGAUGGUGAACAGCGACGGAGAACGCCACUAGCUAGGGUUUCUGCAGCAGCUGAAGUGUAUGCUUGGAGUACACAGUUGUUUGGAGGCACGAUCGAGGAGAGAGAGAUUCUGUUGCUUGGAGGCGCGAUCGAGGAGAGAGAGGGACUCGAUUUCUGCAGGCGUGAUCGAGGAGGGAGAGAGAGAGAGCGAGAGGUCUACGUUUUUCUGAAGAAGGGAGAUACGGCCUACGGGUUUAUUUACAUGCUUCGGUUUUGCCCGCUUGUAAUACUUGGAUGACCCGCUUCUGAUUUUAAUCCGCUUUUAUCGGGCUGGUAGUGUCGAGCCUUUCGGUUUGAGCGGGCCAGGCUCAUUUUUGUACAGGCCUACUAUUUAUAAAUAAUUUAAAAUAUUUUUAACA